rfam:Ovis aries breed Texel chromosome 3, whole genome shotgun sequence.
UCCCUGGUGGCUCAGAGGGUAAAGUACCUGCCUGCAAUGUGGGAGACCUGGGUUCGAUCCCUGGGUUGGGAA